GAGGGUAUAGCUCAAGCAGUAGAGUGCAUGCUUAGCAUGCAUGAGGUCCUGUGCACAAGGUCCUGGGUUCAAUCCCCAGUACCUCCU
rnacentral:tRNA from 1 species